CAAAAAGAGUUUUUCCUCUCUCGUAUCUUUCAGAGAGAGGAAAGUUGUGUUUAAUAUUUUCUCCGAUUGAAAUCGGAUUUCAUCUUAGUUUGCUUUUCUUUGUUUUCUUUUGAUUCCGGUAUUUUGCCGGUUUAAAUUUCCGACUUGUUCGGAAUUUCUUCCGGUUUUAUUGCCGGUUUUUUGAUAAGAUCUUUUGCAAGUUGCAAAUCACCACUUCCAAUCUUGGAAGAUGUUUAAUUCCGGGAGAGUUUUAGAUGGAUCUUUGUUCAUUGGAUGCUUGAUUUUUCUUCCAUGUGAAGGUAAAUUCCUCGCUUUGCUAAUAAGAGCGUAAGGGCGUCGGUUCUUCAUGGGUGAUAGAUCAAGAUGUUUGCGGUUGAUUGGAGAGGAGUAUGAAGAGUUGGGGUUCACGUCGUGUUUUGAUGGUCCUCCAAGGAUUAUUCCAAUCCUCAUCAGCUGAAGUUUAAAUCUCCGGUGGCCAAACUAAAUCCAAAAAAUCUCUCCCGACGAAUUUUGGCAAAAGGCGUACGGUACAACCAAAGGCGGGCAGAUGUAGAACUUUCAUGGAGGAGCUGAAUUAUUUGCUGACCGGCAAAAAAUUCUCCGGUGAAGAGGAUUGCGUCGUGUCGGUGAAGCCGUGAAGGUGCUGUGAAACGUUGAUCUACCCUGCAAUUUCCACGUUGCAUACACGUGUCGUCAUCUUAUCUAUUUUAAUGUUUGCAAUUAGUGGGCUUUUGACCUGCAGUUGUACUCUGUUAUGAAGCAUAUUUGGGCUUGUUAAUGAAAAAUCUGUUUGACGAC